GAUGAACGCUGGCGGCGUGCCUAAUACAUGCAAGUCGAGCGAACAGACGAGGAGCUUGCUCCUCUGACGUUAGCGGCGGACGGGUGAGUAACACGUGGAUAACCUACCUAUAAGACUGGGAUAACUUCGGGAAACCGGAGCUAAUACCGGAUAAUAUAUUGAACCGCAUGGUUCAAUAGUGAAAGACGGUUUUGCUGUCACUUAUAGAUGGAUCCGCGCCACAUUAGCUAGUUGGUAAGGUAACGGCUUACCAAGGCAACGAUGCGUAGCCGACCUGAGAGGGUGAUCGGCCACACUGGAACUGAGACACGGUCCAGACUCCUACGGGAGGCAGCAGUAGGGAAUCUUCCGCAAUGGGCGAAAGCUUGACGGAGCAACGCCGCGUGAGCGAUGAAGGUCUUCGGAUCGUAAAACUCUGUUAUUAGGGAAGAACAAAUGUGUAAGUAACUAUGCACGUCUUGACGGUACCUAAUCAGAAAGCCACGGCUAACUACGUG
rnacentral:rRNA from 1 species